CGUGGGGGCGGCCUACACAUGCAAGUCGAGCGGUAGCACAGAGAGCUUGCUCUCGGGUGACGAGCGGCGGACGGGUGAGUAAUGUCUGGGAAACUGCCUGAUGGAGGGGGAUAACUACUGGAAACGGUAGCUAAUACCGCAUAACGUCGCAAGACCAAAGUGGGGGACCUUCGGGCCUCAUGCCAUCAGAUGUGCCCAGAUGGGAUUAGCUGGUAGGUGGGGUAACGGCUCACCUAGGCGACGAUCCCUAGCUGGUCUGAGAGGAUGACCAGCCACACUGGAACUGAGACACGGUCCAGACUCCUACGGGAGGCAGCAGUGGGGAAUAUUGCACAAUGGGCGCAAGCCUGAUGCAGCCAUGCCGCGUGUGUGAAGAAGGCCUUCGGGUUGUAAAGCACUUUCAGCGGGGAGGAAGGCGGUGAGGUUAAUAACCUUGUCGAUUGACGUUACCCGCAGAAGAAGCACCGGCUAACUCCGUGCCAGCAGCCGCGGUAAUACGGAGGGUGCAAGCGUUAAUCGGAAUUACUGGGCGUAAAGCGCACGCAGGCGGUCUGUCAAGUCGGAUGUGAAAUCCCCGGGCUCAACCUGGGAACUGCAUUCGAAACUGGCAGGCUAGAGUCUUGUAGAGGGGGGUAGAAUUCCAGGUGUAGCGGUGAAAUGCGUAGAGAUCUGGAGGAAUACCGGUGGCGAAGGCGGCCCCCUGGACAAAGACUGACGCUCAGGUGCGAAAGCGUGGGGAGCAAACAGGAUUAGAUACCCUGGUAGUCCACGCUGUAAACGAUGUCGAUUUGGAGGUUGUGCCCUUGAGGCGUGGCUUCCGGAGCUAACGCGUUAAAUCGACCGCCUGGGGAGUACGGCCGCAAGGUUAAAACUCAAAUGAAUUGACGGGGGCCCGCACAAGCGGUGGAGCAUGUGGUUUAAUUCGAUGCAACGCGAAGAACCUUACCUGGUCUUGACAUCCACAGAACUUAGCAGAGAUGCUUUGGUGCCUUCGGGAACUGUGAGACAGGUGCUGCAUGGCUGUCGUCAGCUCGUGUUGUGAAAUGUUGGGUUAAGUCCCGCAACGAGCGCAACCCUUAUCCUUUGUUGCCAGCGGUUAGGCCGGGAACUCAAAGGAGACUGCCAGUGAUAAACUGGAGGAAGGUGGGGAUGACGUCAAGUCAUCAUGGCCCUUACGACCAGGGCUACACACGUGCUACAAUGGCAUAUACAAAGAGAAGCGACCUCGCGAGAGCAAGCGGACCUCAUAAAGUAUGUCGUAGUCCGGAUUGGAGUCUGCAACUCGACUCCAUGAAGUCGGAAUCGCUAGUAAUCGUAGAUCAGAAUGCUACGGUGAAUACGUUCCCGGGCCUUGUACACACCGCCCGUCACACCAUGGGAGUGGGUUGCAAAAGAAGUAGGUAGCUUAACCUUCGGGAGGGCGCUACCACUUUGAUUCAG
rnacentral:rRNA from 1 species